UAGGACAUCACUAAUGUUCUUGAAGGGAUAGGACUGAUAGAAAAGAAGCUUAAGAACAACAUCCGUUGGAAAGGAGUUGACGACUCUCGACCCGGAGAAGUUAGUGAUGAUAUGUCCAUUUUACAGGCAGAUAUCGAUGCUCUCACACUGCAAGAGCGCAAUUUGGAUGAACGAAUAAGGUUAGACACCAGUUGUUAAAAGGCUAAUUUGUUCUUGCGAUGGGGACAACGAGAUACGGUUCUGGAGCAUCAAGCAUGGAAAUGCUGUCCGAAUUUUCAAGGGAGGUUCGACCCAGCUGAGAUUCCAACCACGUUAUGGAGGACUCCUUGCAACGGCUUCAGACAAUGUAGUCUCUAUCCUGGAUGUGGAGAGGCAAGCUUUCGUGAGGAGAUUUGAG